CAGACACAUCAAAAUCUCCUUUUACUUUGGGUCCUUUCAAAUCCAGGUCAACAUCAGGUAUGGAGAUCUUGGGAGCUUUGAUAUUUAUUUCAGGCAUCUUGAACUUGGGGCCCUUUAGUUUCGCAUCUGGACCUUCGAUAUUCACAUCAGGAACAUCAACGUCCACUUUGGGUCCUGAGACAUCAAUGUCAGCCUUGGGCAGGUUCACAUCCACAUCUGGGCCCUCUCCUUUGAAGCCAGGCAUGCUGAACUUGGGCAUUUUCACUUUGGGCAUCUUCAGAUGCCAGUCUGGACCAUGAACAUCCACAUCUGGGGCAUUGAUGUCCACUUUAGGGCCUUU
rnacentral:lncRNA from 1 species